rnacentral:rRNA from 1 species
GAUGAACGCUGGCGGCGUGCCUAACACAUGCAAGUCGAGCGAUUUACUUCGGUAAAGAGCGGCGGACGGGUGAGUAACGCGUGGGUAACCUGCCCCGUACACACGGAUAACAUACCGAAAGGUAUGCUAAUACGAGAUAAUAUGCUUUUAUCGCAUGGUAGAAGUAUCAAAGCUUUUGCGGUACAGGAUGGACCCGCGUCUGAUUAGCUAGUUGGUAAGGUAACGGCUUACCAAGGCGACGAUCAGUAGCCGACCUGAGAGGGUGAUCGGCCACAUUGGAAAUGAGACACGGUACAAACUCCUACGGGAGGCAGCAGUGGGGAAUAUUGCACAAUGGGCGAAAGCCUGAUGCAGCAACGCCGCGUGAGCGAUGAAGGCCUUCGGGUCGUAAAGCUCUGUCCUCAAGGAAGAUAAUGACGGUACUUGAGGAGGAAGCCCCGGCUAACUACGUGCCAGCCGCCGCCGUAA